AGUGAACGCUGGCGGUAGGCCUAACACAUGCAAGUCGAACGGCAGCACAGUAAGAGCUUGCUCUUACGGGUGGCGAGUGGCGGACGGGUGAGGAAUACAUCGGAAUCUACUUUUUCGUGGGGGAUAACGUAGGGAAACUUACGCUAAUACCGCAUACGACCUACGGGUGAAAGCAGUGGAGCUUCGGACCUUGCGCGAUUGAAUGAGCCGAUGUCGGAUUGGCUAGUUGGCGGGGUAAAGGCCCACCAAGGCGACGAUCCGUAGCGGGUCUGAGAGGAUGAUCAGCCACACUGGAACUGAGACACGGUCCAGACUCCUACGGGAGGCAGCAGUGGGGAAUAUUGGACAAUGGGCGAAAGCCUGAUCCAGCCAUACCGCGUGGGUGAAGAAGGUCUUCGGGUUGUAAAGCCCUUUUGUUGGGAAAGAAAAGCAGCAGGUUAAUCCCCCGCUGUUCUGACGGUACCCAAAGAAUAAGCACCGGCUAACUUCGUG
rnacentral:rRNA from 1 species